CCUACGGGUGGCUGCAGUGGGGAAUAUUGGACAAUGGGCGAAAGCCUGAUCCAGCCAUGCCGCGUGUGUGAAGAAGGCCUUCGGGUUGUAAAGCACUUUCAGUGGGGAAGAAAGCCUUGGGGCUAAUACCCUCGAGGAAGGACAUCACCCACAGAAGAAGCACCGGCUAACUCCGUGCCAGCAGCCGCGGUAAUACGGAGGGUGCGAGCGUUAAUUGGAAUUACUGGGCGUAAAGCGCGCGUAGGCGGUCUGAUAAGCCGGUUGUGAAAGCCCCGGGCUCAACCUGGGAACGGCAUCCGGAACUGUCAGGCUAGAGUGCAGGAGAGGAAGGUAGAAUUCCCGGUGUAGCGGUGAAAUGCGUAGAGAUCGGGAGGAAUACCAGUGGCGAAGGCGGCCUUCUGGACUGACACUGACGCUGAGGUGCGAAAGCGUGGGUAGCAAACAGGAUUAGAUACCCCGGUAGUC
rnacentral:rRNA from 1 species